UGGGGAAUAUUGCACAAUGGGCGAAAGCCUGAUGCAGCAACGCCGCGUGAGGGACGACGGCCUUCGGGUUGUAAACCUCUUUAGCAAGGAAGAAGCGAAAGUGACGGUACUUGCAGAAAAACGCGCCGGCUAACUACGUGCCAGCAGCCGCGGUAAUACGUAGGGCGCAAGCGUUAUCCGGAAUUAUUGGGCGUAAAGAGCUCGUAGGCGGUUUGUCGCGUCUGCUGUGAAAACCCGAGGCUCAACCUCGGGCCUGCAGUGGGUACGGGCAGACUAGAGUGCGGUAGGGGAGAUUGGAACUCCUGGUGUAGCGGCGGAAUGCGCAGAUAUCAGGAAGAACACCGAUGGCGAAGGCAGAUCUCUGGGCCGUAACUGACGCUGAGGAGCGAAACGGGUGGGGUAGCAAACAGGCUUAGAUGA
rnacentral:rRNA from 1 species